GACGAACGCUGGCGGCGUGCCUAAUACAUGCAAGUUGAGCGAUGAAGAUUGGUGCUUGCACCAAUUUGAAGAGCAGCGAACGGGUGAGUAACGCGUGGGGAAUCUGCCUUUGAGCGGGGGACAACAUUUGGAAACGAAUGCUAAUACCGCAUAACAACUUUAAACAUAAGUUUUAAGUUUGAAAGAUGCAAUUGCAUCACUCAAAGAUGAUCCCGCGUUGUAUUAGCUAUGUGGUGAGGUAAAGGCUCACCAAGGCGAUGAUACAUAGCCGACCUGAGAGGGUGAACGGGCACAUUGGGAACGAGACACGGCCCAAACUCCUACGGGAGGCAGCAGUAGGGAAUCUUCGGCAAUGGACGAAAGGCUGAACGAGGAAAGGCGGGUGAGUGAAGAAGGUUUUCGGAUCGUAAAAAUCUGUUGGUAGAGAAGAACGUUGGGGAGAGUGGAAAGCUCAUGAAGUGACGGUAACUACCCAGAAAGGGACGGCUAACUACGUG
rnacentral:rRNA from 1 species